CCUACGGGGGGCAGCAGUGGGGAAUAUUGGGCAAUGGGCGAGAGCCUGAACCAGCCAAGUCGCGUGAGGGAGUACUGUCCUAUGGGUUGUAAACCUCUUUUGUCGGGGAGCAAAAGCCGGACGUGUCCGGCUGUGAGAGUACCCGAAGAAAAAGCAUCGGCUAACUCCGUGCCAGCAGCCGCGGUAAUACGGAGGAUGCGAGCGUUAUUCGGAUUUAUUGGGGUUAAAGGGUGCGGAGGCGGAUUUUUAAGUCAGCGGUCAAAUCGUGGGGCUCAACCCCAUCCAGCCGUUGAAACUGGGGAUCUAGAGUGUGCGAGAGGUAUGCGGAAUGCGUGGUGUAGCGGUGAAAUGCAUAGAUAUCACGCAGAACCCCGAUUGCGAAGGCAGCAUACCGGUGCACAACUGACGCUCAGGCACGAAAGCGUGGGUAUCGAACAGGAUUAGAUACCCGAGUAGUC
rnacentral:rRNA from 1 species